CUCCUGUGCCCUGCGCUGCCGGUGUCUGGAGAUGGCGGCGGUUGAGCUCCGUGGAAGAGCUGCUCGAUAUCGGCGCCAUCCUGCAGUAGGUCUGCCGAGGUUGCUCCCCGGCUGCCGUCCUCCUGAGAUGCGUUCUGAUGGACCACCCCACCCUCCGAAGGCCGGCUGACCGCCUUUCAUCUGAGGCUAAUCUAUUCUCUUCUUCCAGUAGCUGCGGAGGAUGGCGCUGUGAUGUGUCCAGGCUCCAGGUUCAUCCUAAUUGUAACCCAGAGGUAUGGGGCCUGUGGUCACAUGAUCACCAGCCUGGUAACGCUUGGCGGCACCUUGCCCUGGGUCUGAAAUGGAGUGGAUGGUGUCACUGAAUUGCCUGAUGCUUGCACCGGUUCAGUGUGGUGGUCCCCAGGACUGCAGAGGCCGAGCAAGUCUCCAUACUGGAUGUGCGGUCUGCCAUCCGUGAAGCCCAGGAGCCUAGAUGCACUGCAUGGAGAAUUACGGGGGGCCCAGUUCUUGGAGGACCUGUUACUGCAAAGUGUGAUCUGAAGGCACCUGGUUGGCGCAGGAGGAGCGGACUGAUAUGUAGUAUUGUGGGAAGAUGCAGUAAAACCUGUAAUUUCUAUCUGCAGCCCUGUGAAUACCCCUCCAGUACAGGGGAGGUGUGAUCAGAUAUCUCUGCACACUAAAGGCUGUAUGAGACCAGCCGAGGGUCAGAUAGGUCGUCCCUAAUUAGUGUUUGUAGGAAUGCUCGUUAGCAAUUAUCUGGCUGUGUAAGGGCGCUUUCUCACGUGACAUUUUGUGGCCGAAAAUUCCACUACUGAAAAGCGGUUCUCUUCACCUUAAUAGGGCUUGCAGUGAUCCAUGUGCUUGCUGCCCAAUUCAAAUAUAUGGAACAGAUUUUUCAGUUGCAGAAUUUUCUGCCACAUGUGAAGGUGCCCUAAUACAGCCCUAAGUGUCGCUGAUUACCCGAUG